AGAGUUUGAUCAUGGCUCAGGAUGAACGCUGGCGGCAGGCUUAAUACAUGCAAGUCGAACGGUAACAGAGCUAGCAAUAGCUGCUGACGAGUGGCGGAUGGGUGCGUAACGCGUAUGCAACCUACCUGUAAUUGGAACAUAACGUUGAGAAAUUAGCGCUAAUAUUCCAUGUGGAUAUGAGACGGCAUCGUUUUAUAUUUAAAGAUUUAUUGAUUACAGAUGGGCAUGCGUAUCAUUAGCUAGUUGGUAAGGUAACGGCUCACCAAGGCAACGAUGAUUAGGGGUUCUGAGAGGAUAUCCCCCCACACUGGAACUGAGACACGGUCCAGACUCCUACGGGAGGCAGCAGUAGGGAAUAUUGGGCAAUGGAGGCAACUCUGACCCAGCCAUGCCGCGUGAAGGAAUACAGCCCUACGGGUUUUAAACUUCUUUUAUUAUAGAGUAACCGGAGGUACGUGUACCUCCCUGCAAGUAUAUAAUGAAUAAGGAUCGGCUAACUCCGUGCCAGCAGCCGCGGUAAUACGGAGGAUCCGAGCGUUAUCCGGAUUUAUUGGGUUUAAAGGGUGCGCAGGCUGAUCGAUAAGUCAGGGGUGAAAAAUUUCAGCUUAACUGGAAUCGUGCCUUUGAUACUGUCGGACUAGAGUGUAACUGACGUGACUGGAAUGUGCCGUGUAGCGGUGAAAUGCUUAGAUAUGUCACAGAACGCCAAUCGUGAAGACAGGUCACGAAGUUACUACUGACGCUCAUGCACGAAAGCGUGGGGAUCAAACAGGAUUAGAUACCCUGGUAGUCCACGCUGUAAACGAUGAUUACUCGUUGUUGGGCAUUUAUGCUCAGUGGCCAAGCGAAAGUGAUAAGUAAUCCACCUGGGGAGUACGAUCGCAAGGUUGAAACUCAAAUGAAUUGACGG
rnacentral:rRNA from 1 species